UACGAAGGGUGCAAGCGUUACUCGGAAUUACUGGGCGUAAAGCGUGCGUAGGUGGUUUUUAAGUCCGUGUGAAGCCCUGGGCUCAACCUGGGAAUGGCAGUGGAUACUGGAAGCUAGAGUGCGGUAGAGGUAGUGGAAUUCCCGGUGUAGCAGUGAAAUGCGUAGAGAUCGGAGGAACACCAGUGGCGAAGGCGGCUACCUGGACCAGCACUGACACUGAGGCACGAAAGCGUGGGGAG
rnacentral:rRNA from 1 species